rnacentral:lncRNA from 1 species
AUGUUUCCAAUGGUCAAACAUAUUGGAGGUGACAGGGGAAAUGAAACACGAGCAGGAGGAAAUAAUGAAAGAGUCAUCGCCAGAGAGGAACAGGAAAGGAGGACACAUGGCCUGGACCUGGGAUUGCAUCCAAGGGUCAUUGGAAGGUGGAUGCAGGGAGGCAGUUUGCAGUGGAAGAACAGCAAUCCCUUCCCUAGCCCCAACUGGGGAGGUUCAUCUGGACCUACAAGGGGGAGGGACCAUUGUUGGAUGAAUCUGAAACGCAGAGAUGUGGACUGGACAAAUGAUUGGUGAGCCUUGAACCACUUUGUAUAGACUGUAGCCAAGAGAAUAGCAGCACUGCCCAGCACCAACUCUGUCUGCUGAUGCCAUGGAGCUGCACGAACUCAGAGCCAGGGCAGACCAGAGCCCACAAGCUGGUAGGGUGCAGGAGAGGGUCUUCUCGGUGUGUGGAUCCCACCAGGAAUUAUCCAACCACUGCUGUGGUUCUCAUUUUGAAGUUAUGUAUCAAACAGAUGCCCUUGUCUGCAUGUCCUUCACACUGUGUACACUGGAG